rnacentral:rRNA from 1 species
GACGAAGGAUGCAGGCGUUUAUCCGGAUUCAUUGGGUUUAAAGGGAGCGUAGGUGGCCUUAUAAGUCAGUGGUGAAAUCUCUGGGCUUAACCCAGAAAUUGCCAUUGAUACUGUAGGGCUUGAGUACAGUUGCUGUGGGCGGAAUAUGACAUGUAGUGGUGAAAUACAUAGAGAUGUCAUAGAACACCGAUUGCGAAGGCAGCUCACAAAACUGUAACUGACACUGAGGCUCGAAAAGUGCGGGGAUCAAACAGG